UGGUAUCAAGUUCUGUGACUAGUUCUGCC
rnacentral:piRNA from 1 species